rnacentral:rRNA from 1 species
UAGCCGUAAACGAUACUCGCUAGGUGUCGGCCACGGUGCGACCGUUGUCGGUGCCGUAGGGAAGCCGUGAAGCGAGCCACCUGGGAAGUACGGCCGCAAGGCUGAAACUUAAAGGAAUUGGCGGGGGAGCACUACAACGGGUGGAGCCUGCGGUUUAAUUGGACUCAACGCCGGAAACUCACCGGGGGCGACAGCAAUAUGAAGGCCAAGCUGAAGACUUUGCCGGAUUAGCUGAGAGGAGGUGCAUGGCGUAGUCGUGU